UUACAGAAAUACAAUCUUUAUUAUAAUUCUAAAUCAACAAGCAUUCAACCGCAACCCUUUUAUUAAACCCUCAUGGACUUAUGAUCAGUUCAGACAUAGAGGGACAGACAGACACACAAGUAGAUCACACAUUGCAAAUCUGGGGCAGGUAUUUGCAGAAGAAUAAAUAAAUCGGAUUUCUGUAUUGUGAUUGCCACGAGCAAUGGCUCUUUCUCUUGAGAAUUGCAGUCGUGGAGGUUGCCAGUUAGUAGCCUCCCCUGUCUAAUCUUGCUCUAAAUAUUACGUGACUUGCUGAGUGUGGAUUGCUGAGUGUGUUGGACAGUGUUGUGAAAUGCUGCUGAAGAUUUCAUGCCUCUGCUAGCAUUCCAGCUUAUAUCAUAAUGGGCACCGCAUGUCACAGAAAACCAAUAAUACUACCUUGGAUUUUCCCUGAUUUUCUCUCUUUAAGGCUACUGUAAUAAUUGUAUUAUGAAAGCUGUGUGCUUUUAUUAAACCAUAUCUUUCAUCCAUGUAAUAUUUGUUUUCCUAAUAUCACAAUUUCUUCCCUCUAAUCAAGCUACAGAUUAAAAAAAAGCAGAAGCAUUAGUUUCCUAGAUUAAGCUAUACACGUAAGAAUGCAAAGCUUAUUCAGGGUGUCAUGAAAGCAAGCCGCCAUCCUCCCCUCCCCGUCCACGUAGUCUCAUUUUAAAGCCUAUGUUAUAAUGGUUUGAUUAUUGAUUAUAUUCUAAUUAGCAUUUGGUCAUAACCGCCGUGAGGUGGCAGGUUUACUUUUAGAAAAAUAUUCUUCUACACUCUGGUAUUGUUAGGCUGUACUUUAACAAGGUAUUGUUAGGCUGUACUUUAUCGUAGUACUGCAUAAAAAUGUUCAUAAAUUAGGCAGGUUUUCUAAAAAAAUAUAUCUAUCUAUCCAGAAGACUAAAAUCUUAUGAAUCCAUAAUAAUUCAACACUAAUAACCUAUACAUAAUACAUAUGGAAUGGUUAUUAAAAAACUCAGGUCAAAGCUACUUACACCUAUCCCACACAUGCAGUUCCACCUGUUGAAUUGUAAAUUCCAUAAAGGCCCACACUUCAAUGGAUCACAUGAAAUUAGCCAUGUGACAAAUCUAAAGGACUCUUAGUCAUUAGGUGUCCAUGUCCUGAAGAUGUCGACAUUUCCUUGUCCAAAAUGGUGUAAUCCACUAAAGAAAUGGACCAAACAGGAUAAAGUUUUGGUCUGACAUUAAACAAGUCUACAAUAGGAUGGAGCUAAAGCUAAAUGCUUUGUUGCUAUUGCAGCAUAAACAAGUUUAAAAGGCUUUUUUCUGCCUGAUGUUAUGGUAGAUAUCAUGACUGAAUUAAUAUCACUGGUUACAGUAAGCACAGAAAAAUGCAAGUACCACAUGUAAAAAAAAUAAAAAAAA